CGUUGCUUUACUGCCAUCUUUUGGUUCUAGUUAUUUCCCGUAUACCUCAGUCAUCAUAUUAUUGUCAUGAUGAAUCCCGUUUUAGUCAGAAAGCAAAUCAAAUAUUUCAUUCCUUGUUCACUCCUACUGCAGUCCAUUAUAUACUUUACUUUACUUUAAUAUGUGUCUGCAAGAGUCUUUUGUAGCUCACUUGGAACCUACAAGCUUCACCGCACAGCAAGUCCCUUUGAUCGGAGAGUCACUUGCCUGGAAUGCCAUCCAACCCAUCCCACCACUGUUGCAGUGGGCUCCAAGAGUGGAAACAUCAUCCUGUGGGAUUAUGAUAUGCUGAAUAAAAUAACUUUCAUAAGGGUUUGAUCUGGAACCGAGAGGACACGCUAAGCAGUGUUAAUCCGAAACAGACAAUGGAGAAAGUGGAGGACAGUGAAAGCAGACCUGGAACCUCCAGAUCCCAGCUUUGCACUCUGCAGCAUACGAAUAGAGACAGAAGAGCAGCUGCUGAUGAUGCCAAGCUCAAGAAAGAGACCAAGUCAAAGACCAAGAGCAAGACAGAAUGCAAGACCUCAAAAGCGAAGAAAAAGUGAGAGAGAAUACACUGAGAUUUUAGAUACUAAAGGUCUCAGGCUCAUGUCAAAAUGUAAAUCCUGGAACAACAACUUGUUUUUGGUUACCUUUUAUAGGGCUUAAAAUAUGUAUAUUCUGAUCAAAAUAAACUUUUGUG